rnacentral:rRNA from 1 species
AGCGCGGGGCAACCUGGCGGCGAGUGGCGAACGGGUGAGUAAUAUAUCGGAACGUACCCAAGAGUGGGGGAUAACGCAGCGAAAGUUGCGCUAAUACCGCAUACGAUCUAUGGAUGAAAGCAGGGGACCGCAAGGCCUUGUGCUCCUGGAGCGGCCGAUAUCUGAUUAGCUAGUUGGUGAGGUAAAGGCUCACCAAGGCGACGAUCAGUAGCUGGUCUGAGAGGACGACCAGCCACAUUGGAACUGAGACACGGUCCAGACUCCUACGGGAGGCAGCAGUGGGGAAUUUUGGACAAUGGGCGCAAGCCUGAUCCAGCAAUGCCCGCGUGAGUGAAGAAGGCCUUCGGGUUGUAAAGCUCUUUUGUCAGGGAAGAAACGGCUGUGGCUAAUAUCCACGGCUAAUGACGGUACCUGAAGAAUAAGCACCGGCUAACUACGUGCCAGCAGCCGCGGUAAUACGUAGGGUGCAAGCGUUAAUCGGAAUUACUGGGCGUAAAGCGUGCGCAGGCGGUUUUGUAAGUCUGACGUGAAAUCCCCGGGCUUAACCUGGGAAUUGCGUUGGAGACUGCAAGGCUAGAAUCUGGCAGAGGGGGGUAGAAUUCCACGUGUAGCAGUGAAAUGCGUAGAGAUGUGGAGGAACACCGAUGGCGAAGGCAGCCCCCUGGGUCAAGAUUGACGCUCAUGCACGAAAGCGUGGGGAGCAAACAGGAUUAGAUACCCUGGUAGUCCACGCCCUAAACGAUGUCUACUAGUUGUCGGGUCUUAAUUGACUUGGUAACGCAGCUAACGCGUGAAGUA